GGUAGCUCAGUGGUGGAGCAUCUGCUUUGCAUGCAGAAGGUCCCAGGGUCAGUCUUCAGGAUCUCUGGAAGAGAACCC